CAGUCGCCGCGGGAAUACAGAGGGUGCGAGCGUUAAUCGGAUUUACUGGGCGUAAAGCGUGCGUAGGCGGCUUCUUAAGUCGGAUGUGAAAUCCCUGAGCUUAACUUAGGAAUUGCAUUCGAUACUGGGAAGCUAGAGUAUGGGAGAGGAUGGUAGAAUUCCAGGUGUAGCGGUGAAAUGCGUAGAGAUCUGGAGGAAUACCGAUGGCGAAGGCAGCCAUCUGGCCUAAUACUGACGCUGAGGUACGAAAGCAUGGGGAGCAAACAGGAUUAGUACCCGUGUAGUCCCUGUCUCUUAUACA
rnacentral:rRNA from 1 species